rnacentral:lncRNA from 1 species
UUGAACUCAUCUCUCUUAGUCCAAGUACACCAUCUGAUCUGCCACACAUUGACUCUUCCUUCUGGAAUAGUGUUCCUUAUUCUCGUUUUCCCUUGCUGUUUCCUAAGGUUCUGUAGUCUCAGAGCAUGGUUGUAAGAAUCAGUCUGAUGCCACCACAUGAUACCACCAAGUCGUGUUUCCCUAACCCAAAGCUGGCAGUCAGCGUUAGGUUGGAUCCUCUCUACAGCCUGAAUAUGCUUGGUUUCACCCCAAAAUAGCUUUGCUGAGCUUGGACAGAGAGAGAGGAAAAGCAACAGGCAGGGAAGAGCCAAAUAAAAGCAACAGAUGUUAACA